rnacentral:rRNA from 1 species
AUUGAACGCUGGCGGCAUGCCUUACACAUGCAAGUCGAACGGUAACGCGGGGCAACCUGGCGACGAGUGGCGAACGGGUGAGUAAAGCAUCGGAACGUGCCCAGUAGUGGGGGAUAGCCCGGCGAAAGCCGGAUUAAUACCGCAUACGACCUAUGGGUGAAAGGGGGGGAUCGCAAGACCUCUCGCUAUUGGAGCGGCCGAUGUCAGAUUAGGUAGUUGGUGGGGUAAAGGCCUACCAAGCCGACGAUCUGUAGCUGGUCUGAGAGGACGACCAGCCACACUGGGACUGAGACACGGCCCAGACUCCUACGGGAGUCAGCAGUGGGGAAUUUUGGACAAUGGGCGCAAGCCUGAUCCAGCCAUGCCGCGUGCGGGAAGAAGGCCUUCGGGUUGUAAACCGCUUUUGUCAGGGAAGAAAUCCUUUGGGUUAAUACCUCGGGGGGAUGACGGUACCUGAAGAAUAAGCACCGGCUAACUACGUGCCAGCAGCCGCAGUAA